UACGGAGGGGACUAGCGUUGUUCGGAAUUACUGGGCGUAAAGCGCACGUAGGCGGAUUUGUAAGUCAGGGGUGAAAUCCCGGGGCUCAACCUCGGAACUGCCUUUGAUACUGCAAAUCUCGAGUCCGGAAGAGGUGAGUGGAAUUCCUAGUGUAGAGGUGAAAUUCGUAGAUAUUCGCAAGAACACCAGUGGCGAAGGCGGCUCACUGGCCCGGUACUGACGCUGAGGUGCGAAAGCGUGGGGAGCAAACAGG
rnacentral:rRNA from 1 species